UGAGUACGAGAUGCUACGGCAUCGAAGCAGUCUAUGUCAUACUUCCAAGAAAAGCUUGCAAUGUCAUAAACAAAUAAUGCCUGUACCAUAACCGACACAGGUGGGUAGGUAGAGUAUACUAAGGGGCGCGAGAUAACUCUCUCUAAGGAACUCGGCAAAAUGACUCCGUAACUUCGGGAGAAGGAGUGCCUUAUUUUUAUAAGGUUGCAAUAACAAGAUCCAAGCAACUGUUUACCAAAAACACAGGUCUCCGCUAAGUCGUAAGACGAUGUAUGGGGGCUGACGCCUGCCCAGUGCCAGAAGGUUAAAGAAGUUGGUUAGCAUUGGCGAAGCUGAUAACUGAAGCCCUGGUGAACGGCGGCCGUAACUAUAACGGUCCUAAGGUAGCGAAAUUCCUUGUCGGGUAAGUUCCGACCCGCACGAAAGGCGUAAUGAUUUGGAUACUGUCUCGGAGAGGGGCUCGGUGAAAUAGACUUGUCUGUGAAGAUGCGGACUACCUGCACCUGGACAGAAAGACCCUAUGAAGCUUUACUGUAACUUGAGAUUGAAAUUGGACUUUAUCUGCGCAGUAUAGGUGGGAGACGUUGAAAAUAUUCUUGCGGGAAUAUUGGAGUCAUCAGUGAGAUACCACUCUUAUAAUGUUAGAUUUCUAACUUUGUAUCAUUAUCUGGUCAAAGAACAGUUUCAGGCGGGCAGUUUGACUGGGGCGGUCGCCUCCCAAACGGUAACGGAGGCGCACAAAGGUUUCCUCUGAACGUGUAGAAAUCGUAUCUAGAGUGUAAAGGCAUAAGGAAGCUUGACUGUGAGACCUACAAGUCGAGCAGGGACGAAAGUCGGUCUUAGUGAUCUGACGGUGCUGAGUGGAAAGGCCGUCACUCAACGGAUAAAAGUUACUCUAAGGAUAACAGGCUGAUCUCCCCCAAGAGUUCACAUCGACGGGGAGGUUUGGCACCUCGAUGUCGGCUCAUCGCAUCCUGGGGCGGUAGUACGUCCCAAGGGUUGGGCUGUUCGCCCAUGAAAGCGGUACGCGAGCUGGGUUCAGAACGUCGUGAGACAGUUCGGUCCAUAUCCGGUGUAGGCGUUAGAAUAUUGAGAGGAGCCUUCUUUAGUACGAGAGGACCGAGAAGGACAUACCUCUGGUGUACCAGUUAUCGUGCCAACGGUAAACGCUGGGUAGCCAUGUAUGGAGAGGAUAACCGCUGAAAGCAUCUAAGUGGGAAGCCCACCUCAAGAUAAG
rnacentral:rRNA from 1 species